rnacentral:rRNA from 1 species
GACGAACGCUGGCGGCGUGCUUAACACAUGCAAGUCGAACGCUGACGCACAGCUUUUGUUGGGUGGAUGAGUGGCGAAGGGGUGAGUAACACGUGAGUAACCUGUCUCCUUCUUUGGGAUGACGUAAGGAAGCGGGAGCUAAUCCUGGAUAUUAUCUGGCCUUCGCGUGGGGGCAGGGGGUAAGGGGUCUUCUGGUGGGGGAUGGGCUCGCGGCCUAUUAGCUUGUUGGUGGGGUGAUGGCCUACCAAGGCUUAGACGGGAAGCCGGCCUGAGACGGUGACCGGUCAGAGAGGGACUGAGAAACGGCCCAGACUCCGACGCGGGGCAGCAGUGUGGAAGAUGGCGCAAUGGGCGAUAGCGUGAUACAGCGUCGCCGCGGGAGGCAUGGGGGCCGUCGAGUUGUGAACCUCUUACGGUCAUGGAGAAGCCUCAACAAUGGUUGUAGUGACGGUACCGGGUGAAUAAGCGCCGGCUAACUACGUG